rnacentral:lncRNA from 1 species
GAGAGGACAGAUAAGGUCAAACCAAAAACAUGAUGCAGUUUCUGUAAAACUGGAUCCAGGGUUUGAUUAAAAUGCCAUGGCAUUGCUGAAGGAAGCGUACUUGCAGACCUGGUUGUGGCAGUUGUGGCAGUACAUGACUGCCAUAGAGACAGAGAAAAUAAAACCGAUUGCAUGUAUGAACAAAAAGAGGCUUGUAGGUCAUUAACAAAAUUAAAUUCCACUUAAUAAUAAUAAUCGAUCAUGUAUUGGUGGUAGAAACUUAAUAAUAAUAAUAAUAAUAAUAAUUAAAUGUUCCCCAUUAUUUUGUUGUGACAUAACAUUUUAUAAGCAGACUGAAAGAAAAUUUUAAAAUGAGUAUAAAAAUGAGUAGCCUUUUAUAGGCUUAUCUCAUCAGUCUCAUUUAGGCAGUAUAACCAAUGACAAAAACAGCAAUAAUUCUUCUUAUUAUUAUUAUUAUUAUUACGAUGAUACUGCCUUAACAAUACUGAAGGAAACUGACACUUAAACAGGAAUUAUUAUUAAAUAUUUAGUAGUAGUAGUAGUAUUGUUAAGUGUGUAAUUCGCCCAGGAUUCAAUCUUCUUAAAUAUUCAUAAGGCUCAUUAUUAUUAAACAGGACCUGAGGGUGCAAUUCUCAGUCAACACCGAUAGGGGGAGACUUUCAUUUCUUCAUCUGAACAAGUAUGGCGGCGUACAGAAGGAAAUUGUUUGCUGUCGGAUUGAGCUGGGCAGCUUUGAUGAGCAGAAGCGUCUGUCAGAGCAGCCGCAGACUGGCUGUGCUGCCCACACUCCUCAGAAACAACUGGAAGACUUUGAGUGUCACAGGUGCUCUGUGUGCUGUUCCUUUCAUCCAGGUCUGCGCCAUGAUAAUGUGAUUGGAAUAUGGACUGUUUGAUUGUUAUAGCUGCUAAUAUUUCGUACACAAAUGCAGAGUUUAAAAGAUAGCAUCAUUAAUGAUAGAAUUUGUAGAAUCUUCACGUAUAAUUCACUGUAAUUACAUUUACAUCAAUGUAAUUGCUCGUAUAUUUAUGUGAAGAAAUAGCCAUUCAGUUCAUUGAGUUUAUUUACAUUUACAAUUAAUGCAUUUUAUUUCUAAUCAUCUCUUGAAGUUAAACUGUUGACAUUUAAGGUUUGACAUCUAAAGGGAUACUCCAGCCCAAAAUGAAAAUUUUGUCAUUAAUCACUUACCCCCAUGUUGUUACAAACCUGUAAAAGCUCUGUUCAUUUUCGGGACACAAUUUAAGAUAUUUAGGAUGAAAUCCUGGAGGCUUGUGACUGUCCCAUAGACUGCCAAGUAAAUAGCAGUGUCAAGGUCCAUAAAAGGUAUGAAAGUCGUCAUCAGAAUACUCCAUCUGCCAUCAGACGUGCAAUAUGGGUUAUAUGAAGCGACGGGAACACUUUUUGUAAGCGAAGAAAACAAAAAAUAAUGACUUUAUUCAAUAAUUCAUGUAUCACAUAUGCUGUGUAUGCUCUUCUGUGUCAUCCGUGCCAUAAGGAUGUGCUGUUUCUACAUGUAUUUAGCUUUGAUUUGAAAUAAAACAGCGCAUCCUUGUGGCGCGGAUGACACAAAAGAGCAUACACAGCAUACAGUGAUAUGGAGAGACACAGAGGAGACCGUUGACAAAGGAAUUAUAGAAUAAAAUCGUUAUUUUUGUUUCUUCGCUUACAAAAAGUAUUCCCAUCACUUCAUAUAACCCAGAUUGCACGUCUGAUGGCAGAUGGAGUAUUCUGACGAUGACUUUCAUACCUUUUAUGAACCUUGACACUGUUAUUUAUUUGUCAGUCUAUGGGACAGUCUCAAGCCUCCCGGUUUUCAUCCAAAAUAUCUUAAAUUGUGUUCCGAAGAUGAACAAAGCUUUUACAGGUUUGGAAUGACAUGGGGGUAAGUGAUUAAUGACAAAAUUUUCAUUUUGGGGUGGAGUAUCCCUUUAAGCUCCGCCCCUUUAAGCUCACACUCACCCACAUCCACUUUUGAGUGCCACGCCCACAUUUUAACAUCCAAUCAACAACCGAUGCAUAGAACCAAG